rnacentral:rRNA from 1 species
GAUGAACGCUGGCGGCGUGCCUAAUACAUGCAAGUCGAGCGAACAGAUGCGGAGCUUGCUCCUCUGACGUUAGCGGCGGACGGGUGAGUAACACGUGGAUAACCUACCUAUAAGACUGGGAUAACUUCGGGAAACCGGAGCUAAUACCGGAUAAUAUAUUGAACCGCAUGGUUCAAUAGUGAAAGACGGUUUUGCUGUCACUUAUAGAUGGAUCCGCGCCGCAUUAGCCAGUUGGUAAGGUAACGGCUUACCAAGGCAACGAUGCGUAGCCGACCUGAGAGGGUGAUCGGCCACACUGGAACUGAGACACGGUCCAGACUCCUACGGGAGGCAGCAGUAGGGAAUCUUCCGCAAUGGGCGAAAGCCUGACGGAGCAACGCCGCGUGAGUGAUGAAGGUCUUCGGAUCGUAAAACUCUGUUAUUAGGGAAGAACAAAUGUGUAAGUAACUAUGCACGUCUUGACGGUACCUAAUCAGAAAGCCACGGCUAACUACGUG